UAUAAAUAGCAUGAAAUAAAAGUGUGAGCUCACAAGUUAUUCAAUAUCUCUUACCAAAUAUGAACCGGAGGACUCCAAACAAACGGCAUCAUGGAAAGAAGAAAGAUGUGAAAUCUGUGCUUUUGCAACGCUGAUGUUUGUGACUCUGCAGAUAAGAGACGAAGCACAUGGACGCCAGACAAUCACCAGUCGUACAUACCGGGAAAAAUGUCCGUCAACGCAACGGCUUCCUCAACCACAAAGACUUCACAACAUGCAAAAGAAGAAACUAGUGUGGAAAUUCUGUGGUCUUCAACUCACUGAGAACGGGGACAAAGUCGAACUCCAGCCGGCAUCUCGACGGAUGACAAGCAUCCGUAGUUAGUGUCACUCACAGUUGACGAAAAGCUGCACCGACUCGCUGGUGCCUCCGCUGACAGCAUUGGACACCCGACAUCUGAACGACACGUGGUCGUAGCGC